CAUGCAUCUAAGUUUAGUGCUAAUAGGAUUUUACGGCUCAACCCUGGCAGCUACCAUGAGUACUAAACAAUGUUAUUACAUAUAUCAAUUGCAACAUAUUGCACGCUGUAAAUCGUGAUUAGUUCACAGCGCAUCUGCGCAGAGCUAGUCUAUUCAGAAAACCUAAUUGCUCGAGAAAUGAGAAUGGACUCGGAUUGUAUGGUAACAAUGAAUGUUCGAACAAAGAUGACUGAAGCGUGGCAGUAGUAGAUACACUAUGCAACAUAUCGAACCUACAGAUACAGUUCAACGAACUAAACUCUUUAAUCAAAACCGGUUUUUUGCUGCCCAUCUAC